rnacentral:misc_RNA from 1 species
UGAUUAUCUAGAUCUUUUGACAUUAUAAAUAAUUUAGAAAUAAUGAUGGCCAUGGGUUUGUAGCUAUAUGAGUUUGACUUUAGGCUUUGUGGUAUGUGGGCUGAUAUUGAAUGGUCUGGAUCAUCUUGAUUGAUCAUCCUAACCGUUUCACCAAUAAAAUAACUGAGGUAUUUGAUACUUGAUAGGCAUGUUAAAAUUCUAAUUCCAUGCAUUUAAUGAUAAUUAAGCAAAUGCAAGAAUAAAAAAUUAAACAAAAUGCUUUUGGAUAGAGAUUAGUGAUGCUUUUAAGAAUCUUGUGCAGGGAAAGUG